CACACAACACACACACACACACAAGUGAUCGCAUUCAACUGCCCGGUUUUACUCGCUACACAAGUGAUUACGUAGAAGAGUCCUCCACGAGCACUUUACCACUUAAUACUGAAUGAAUUCAGUCGAUCCUGUCCAUAUAUGGAGUUAAUCAGGGCAUGACGCAUCAAUUUCUUUCGCUGAAUGCAGCAGACACGACGCGGGUUGACCUAGAUAAUCAGGAUCCCCAUCUGUCCAGGAUAGAAGCGCACUAGGACCCUCCCCUCUCUAAACCACAUACUCUUUGUCGACAGAAUGAUAGAAACCUUGCGAACGUGGUUCAAAUAGAAAAGUCUGAAAAUAGUGAAGGGGGUGUGAUCACUGUUAUUGUACGUCUUCUUAAUUAAUUUUUUUUUUUAUUCUCCUCCCUCUAUAUUUACUUAAUAUGCAUGUUUGUGUGUAUGUGUUUAAUGAGUUGUUCAUUGUAUGUAAAUUCAUAUAACUCUGUGCUUUGUCCGGUUUCUCUAAGAUAAAGGGUGGCACGAAAAUCUAGGAAGAUCUUUUGACUAUUUCAUACCAAAGAAUGUUCAUAAUAACCCAUUUCCGAUCAUUCAGGGCUAUCAAGAUAAAAUCGCUCGGACAACAAUCGAUUCUUGUUUGCUUUUCCACCCUUGGUAAUAUUUGGUCCAGUAUUUAUAGAAAUUCAACUUUUGAUUUAUCAUUACAAUCUCAGAAGUCUCUCUUAUUUCUAAACUUCUAUUUUUCUAGAACUAGUAAAACGAAAUUAAAUGACUAACGCAAGAUUAAAGUUGUAUUAUUCCAUUUAGAAUUGAACAAAAAUCAGAAUCAAAUCAGUUAAAUGAUAUCAGAGAUCGCACUUACAAUUUUGUCGUAAGAUCAGGUUUGUAUCGGUUAAUGCGUGUUGGUCUGUCAGACCGCUAGAAUGUCUAACCUUUUGGUUGAUUAACUGAUUUUAUUAAUAACAUAGAAAAAUUUAUUUUCCAAAAUUGUUUUCUUUGCGCUCGAUAUAUUUUUUAUUCCAGAUUCCAAAAUGGCGUUUUUAUCACGAGCAGUCCACUACUGGUAGACCUAAAAACAAAACACAUGAAUUUAGGGGGGAAAAGUAGCUGUCGACUUAGAUGUUCAAGCACGGCACUUUUACUUUAAGAACAUUAAUCAAAGUCCACUGAGUUAGUAUGUAAAUAGGUCAUCGACUCCUCACGUGAGGAUGAGCGUAUUGAUGUUUUGUAUCGUCAUUGGAUAAAUGGAAUCCUUGAAAAAUAGGGCCCAAUAAAAAAAAAAAAAAAACACCCAGAAACUCCAAUUAGGAAAAACAUUAAAGGGACGUAACUGGUAUGAAGCGGUGACUCAAAGCAAUUGAAUAUGUAUAGGAAAGGGUUUGAUAGGAAAAAAAUCCUUGUUAAUAAACGAUCUCAAUUCAUUGCUGUAUUACAGAGAUAAAGCUUAUAGGAGAUUAGUUCUGGGUUUUUUUUUAAACUGGUUGCUUGGUUGCAAUAAUUCUGACAUAGGUGUAUUUAUCGCAUUCCUAAUAAUGUUUUUUUUUUAUUUUGUCCGUAAUAUAUCGAAUUUUCAAUUAAUUUGUUGUGAAUACAUCACUAUUGUUUUAAGGAAAUUUAGCCAAUAAUUCACAAAAGAAAAAAAUCCGAACAUAUUGUAGGCGUAUGAAUACAUUGUUCAUUACCAGUCACAAGAAAUAUCAAAAUGGAAGUUAAUUUAAAAAGUCAAAUUUCCCUGAUAGGUGGACAGAAACCAAUGGUACUAGCAGACCAGCAAUGGUGGUUAAGCCCGGGCCGCUUGUGUUAAUGAACAUAUGACGUACGGUGCAGUACUGAUGGAGACUGCCGCUGUUUAAAGUGUUCAGAAUUCAGAAGUAUGUUCGAUGUUUGUGCUUGGAUGUUAAAUACCGUGUGUAGUUUGCAUUCCAUGAGUCUACUACACAAAAUAGUACACAAUGUAACGGCCUAGUGUGGGUCGUAAUUGGACGUACACUUAUCGAGUAUAUUGUUUUAGUUCCUGUGAGGCAAAUGUGGAGGUCACGUGACUUCCGGUCGCUCUCUGAUUGGUCAUUGACACUGUUAAUCACAUGGACGUUUUGAAUAACCAGGAAGAUUUUUGGUUCCUCUGAUAACUAGAUGGUUUGAUUUCCUCCCCUAUGCUGUAAUUCAGUAUAAUAUAUCUUCGAUUUUCUGCCUACACAUGACGGGCCGCUGAAUAUGGUUAGUAUUUGAUGGGGGGAAAAUAAUUCUUUGCAUACUGGUCCUUAGAGAGCACUGCGAAUGUCAGACAACGAUGUGAUAAUUGUCCGAAUUACUGGCAUCCUUAGCGCGUUGUAUUUGCAUAAUUAUGAAUAUAGAUUCUUAAAUCUAAAGAGCUUAGGCGUCAUAAUUGUGCAAAGUCAUAUUUUAGAAAUAAUUGGUGUCGAAAAUAUACGAUUGAAUUGCCUCAGUUUGGUUGAAAUGAUUCAGUUUCUUUAUUUCCGUGAGCCAUGUGGCUCAUUGGAUUCACAAACACAUAUGUAUACACAGACAGUACAGUAAAUAUAAAGAUACAAUAUAUAAUGAAAUAUGGUAUACUUUGGUAUUUGGUUAAUGCCAACAAAACAGUCACAUGUAUAUAUAUCAAGAAUUUGCAUGUAAAUCAUCAGAAAGCGUGUUAAUUUCUGGAGACGUUGAUUUUAAGUAAAAUAUAUCUUAGCAAAAAGAAAAAUGAAAAAUACAAUUACAACUCCUCUUAAACAGCAAGGGAGCUAAGACAAGCGGAAGUUGUUCGGUCACGUGGUAUGCUGUAAUAUAUGAUACUUCCUGUUAGACAAAUAAUUACAAAGGAGUGCGCAAAAUGGUGUUUCCGGUAGAGCAAUCUCUGGGUACUUGACUUGACUUGUGGGAUGUUGUCCCUGUGAAAGCAGCUAAAGAAAUGAAGGCAAACAUGAGCUAAGUACUAAUGUGACUCCGGGGACGCACGGUGCUACAUUUAAACCUCGAUUUUCUGAUGCAGACAAAAUUAUGAUAAAAUCCUCGCCUCACGUCGUGAAUGGCAGGCCCAAAUCCAAGAGCCGAUUCUUCUGUGUAAUCCGCCAUUAGAGGCCCGUCCCGGACACAUGGCCCACUAAUCAUGAUUUCCUGUGGAAUUUAGUGUCACUGUUUAAAGUCACUGAUGUUCAAUCGGAGUGCAAGCUUGAUGCGGGGGAAAGAAAAUCGGGAAUCGGAAGAAUAAUUCUAACUGGAAAUUUAGAUACCAUUGAGAGCAGUGUGUCCGCGUAUAGAAGCUGGAACUCAGUGACGGCGAGAGAUUUUUUUUUUUUACAGUAAGUGACGCUCUGUUAUUUCAUUCAAGCAUGAGAUUUCGAUUAUCGAAAAAAAAAAAAGUAAUUAAAUGAAGCAAGCUUAUAUCCAAUCGAUUUGUCAUAUAUAGGCCUAUUAUAUGUAUUUAAUGAUUAUGCUAAAAAAAAAUAAUAAUGUAUUUUCACAUCAGUGAAAUCUCUUUUUAUAACAAAUGAGUACAAAUACGUCGAUAUUUCAUAUCUUCAAUCAAAUGGAAAUAACCCUGAAAAACUUGUAAAACGGCACCUGUCCCCUUUUCCCGCCACACCUACACAAUAAACUUGGUCACCCCUUCAGUUGAUCUAUUGUGAACUAACCCAACGACCUCCAUGUGAUAUUAACCUCAUGAUUUGAUUGGCUAUGUUACCGGAUAUUGUAAAGGUCAUGACCUUCUUCACGUCACAUUUGUCCGCGAAAUGCUUGCGGAGCACCAUGUGACAUUGUUCGGGACAGUUGAAUGGAUCAGGUUGACAUUGACAUCACUUCCUUAGCAAUGCAGCAGCUUCCAUGGCAAUGCAGCAACAUACUGGUGGAUGAGUUCACAAAGGGACAGUAUUGGUGAUGGAUCCGAUGACCAAGUAUUCAAUCAUUUCAGAUGGGUUUGCUGAGAGGACAACUCCAUGCACAAGCUGUUUUGUCGGGUUUAAUGAGAGGACAACUCCAUGCACGAGCUGUUUUGUCGGGUUUGCUGAGAGGACAACUCCAUGCACGAGCUGUUUUGUCGGGUUUAAUGAGAGGACAACUCCAUGCACGAGCUGUCCAUGAUGACGUUGAAAUGUGGUCACUGUGAUAGUGGGGUAAGUUUGAUGGUAAGUUACCAGACGAGGAAAUCUGAUGAGCUGUUAGUAUUGAAUGCGUUAGCAACUGUGCAAUUGCAGUAAUUUUUCUUAGAAAAACUUUUAUCGAUUCGAUACUUUCUUCAAAAAAAAAAAAAAAAAAAAAAAAAAAGAAGAGAAACCCAAUAUGAUGGAUUUUCAUUGCUUUUGUUUCCUUAAGUGAUUGAAACCCUAGUGAUCACUGAUGGAAAUUGUUUAAAGGGGAAAUUUUUCUUUGAAGAGUUAAAACCCAGGUGUAGUGAUUGCAAAAUCAAAGAUGGAAAUGUUUGUAAUGCGCCAAGUGAAAAUCUCUUUUUAUGGUUUCUCAAUCACAGUGCAUUGCAAAUUUUUUUUAAAAUUAGAAGUAGAAAGGAUUGUUUUAGAUCAGGGGUGGUAAAGAACAGCUGGUCAGAUAUCAGUCUACAUUGACCCAAAUAACCCUGGGCCCUUAUCAGUUCAUCGUCCAAAUUCCAAAUGUGUGGAUCUAAGAGUUUUGUAUGGAAACUGAUGGUGGAUCGAAUGUCUGUGUGAAAAGUGGGAGUGGCUGAAUAGUGGGAAAAGUCUUGAUGAAUGUGUGGAUGUAAGAAUUAAAGGGAUGGUAUUAGUAUAAUUCAAUGGAGAGGGUAAGAUUUGAUUGGUAGAUGUUAAAGUGCAGAUGCAAGGGUUAUAGCUGUGUAAUGUGAAUGGAAUGUUUACAUGUGAUUAUGGGGUGUAAAAUGGAAUGUUUUUGUGUGAUCGUGGGGUGUAAAAUGGAAUGUGAUGGUGGGGUGUAAAAUGGAAUGCUUACGUGUGAUCAUGGGGUGUAAAAUGGAAUACUUGCGUGUGAUCGUGGGGUGUAAAAUGGAAUGCUUACGUGUGAUCGUGGGGUGUAAAAUGGAAUGUUUUGUGUAAUCAUGGGGUGUAAAACUAAUUGAAUAUUUAGAUAUGAUCAUGGAAUUGUACUAAGAAGAUUGUGAUGUUGGAUGAAAAAGGAAAUGGGAUGAAAUUUCCAUUGGACGUCUUCGUAUAACGGUUACGCCUCCUUAUCACUUGUUCGUCGCAGUUGCUAUGUAUACACUGGACGGAGAACUGAUAAGGGCAUGUGACCAAGCGUUCUUCUGAUGCAGACUUUAGAUCCGUCACGUGGACGAUGCGACAUCUUGUUCCGGUAAAAUAGUGAUUUGUGUACAGUAUAAAUAAAUGAAAGAUGCAAUGCAAUCGUGUCUUGGUUUUGUUUAUUGGAUUAGAGUCGUCAGAUGGGAAUAAUUUAGACGGGAUUUAGGCGUUAUCCACGUCAGCUCUUUUUCACUUUAGCGAUGAGGGUUCUAUAUCUGUGUGGUCCUGGUGAAGAAAUCGAUUCACAGACUGGAAUAAGCUGCAGAUAUCAGCUGACUGUAAGGAUGGUGAAGAUUUAUGUAUUAUAGCUGUUUUUAAGUAGUUCUGUCUGCCGUUUUACGACUGUUCGUAAUCGACACGGAAAAUACUCGAUUAUGUGUAAUACCAAUACUUUGGGUGUGGGGUAUUGAGCUGCGGUUUAAAUUUCGCUACAGUACGAGUUGAAUUGAAAAUGGGAAAUAUCUUUUCAAUAUUUUUGGUGCAAAGAUUUACCAGAUGAAUGUAGUGUAAAAGCCCCAUCGGAUAGUGUUGAUUCACUCGCAUAUUUUGGUCUUCAGAGUAAUAUCGGGUAACCUUAUGCAACUGAUUUACACGUGUCUUGCGCUUACAAUGGAACAUUUAUUUUUAUGCCCCCCAGAUGAAGGACGGGGGACAUAUUGUUUUUGUCCUGUCUGUAUUUCUGUCUUCCUGUUUAAAACUUUAACCUUGUUAAUUACUUUUGAACAGUAAGUGCUAGUGCUUUGAUAUUUCACAUGAAUAUUCCAUGUGACAAGACCUUUCAGUAGGUACCAAUAUUUUUUACCCUUGACGUUGGAGUUUGACCUACUUUUUGAAAACUUUAACCUUGCUAAUAACUUUUGAAACAGUAAUGCUAGAGCUUUGAUAUUUCACAUGAGAAUAUUUGUGUUUCACAAACGCAUCUUAUUUACUUCUUGAUAACGGACAUUCCAAUUCUUUUCAAAUUUGGUAUGAAACGUCUCUUGGACAAGACAAAAUUGCCCAGUUUUCAAAAAUCUCCACAACCUCCAAAUGAACAAGAUCCGCGAGAAAGACGAUAAAAAACAUGCUGUCAAUCAAUCCAUCUACAACCACAUGUGUUAUAUGGGACACUCGAGAAUUUUUAUGAUUCCCGAAAAUUUUCUGAGAAGCAUGUUCGUCCGAGCUCGCAUCUCCUAAACCUCCCAUCAGAUAUUUAUAUAAUGAAUAAAAAAAAAAUUCAUACACGAGAACCAUUAGGCCAGAGAAGGUUACAUUCACACGAAAUUUCCUGACAAAGUGCAGAUUCAAAUUUGUAAAAAGCAUGGUCCCCGGCAGUAGGUCGGGGCCACAGUAGGGAACAAAGUUUUAUAUGCAAAUGUGAUGGGGGAAAAUCUUUAAUUGUGGGCCAAGUCAGGUGAACGAUAUGGACUUGUUUAAUUUAAAGUUCCCAUCUUUUAAUUCUUUCAUAAUUUUUUUAAUUAAAAAUAUUCCUUUUGGACCAAGAUCAUUUUGGAAAGGUUUAGGUCACUCAGAACAUUUACCUUAUAUAUGUAAAAGUUCUUUAUUUCAACAGUUUUUUGAAAAGGGAUUAACCAUAUGUCGCCCAAAUAAGUAUGGGCAAAUGGCUUUCAGAUAAAGGUCACUAAGAUCAUUUUUAAAGGUCAAGGUCACACAACAUAUACCAUAUAUAUGAAAAAUACUUCAUUUCAAAAAUAUUUCAACAAUUAAUGUUAUGAACCAAGAUUUACUCAAGGUCAUUUUGAAAGGGUCAAGGUCACUUAGAAUAUAUACUUCAUAUACAGGAAAAGUGCCUCAUUUCAACAGUUUUUGAAUAGGUAUUAAUAAUAUACCACACAAAUAAGUUUAUUGAUAUUUUCCGCCACACUCAACAAUUUUUCAGUUAUCUGGUGGCGCCUAGUUAGCUCACCUGAGCUAAAAGCUCAAGUGAGCUUUUAUGAUCACCCGUAUUCCGGCGUCUGUCCGUCCGUCUGUAAACUUUUAACAUUUUUGACUUCUUCUCAAAAACCACUGGGCCAAUUUCAACCAAAGUUAGCACAACACAUCCUUAGGUAAAGGGAAUUCUAAAUUUGUUAAAAUAAAGGGCCAGGCCACCUUCCAAGGGGGAGAUAAUCAAGAAAAGGUAAAAAUAGGGUCAUUAAAAAAUCUUCUCAAGAACCACUGGGCCAGAAAAGAUGAAAUUUAUAGAUAAGCUUUAUUAGGUAGUGCAAAUUCUAAAUUGUUAAAAUCAUGGCGGGGGGUUGGAUGGGACCACAAGAGGGGAUCAAAGUUUUACAUACAAAUAUAUAGGAAAAAUCUUUAAAAAUCAUCUUCUCAAGAACUACUGAGCCAGAAAAGCUGAGAUUUAUAUGAAAGCUUUCUGACAUAGUGCAGAUUCAAGUUUGUUCAAAUCAUGGCCCCUGGGAGUAGGAUGGGGCCACAAGGGGGAUCAAAGUUUUACAUACAAAUAUGUAGGAAAAAUCUUCUCAAGAACCAUCGGGCCAAAGAAGUUCACAUUUACAUGAAAGCUUUCUGACAUAGUGUAGAUUCAAGUUUGCAAAAACCAUGGCCUCCAGGGGUAGGUUGGGGCCAUAAUAGGGACUACGGUUUUACAUGCAAAUAUAUAUGGAAAGUCUUCUGAUAUGGACCAAGGUGAGCGAUGUGGCCCAUGGGCCUCUUGUUUUUAUUGGUGGAAGAGAGAACUCAGAUACAAUAUACAUGGGAAGAGACCACCGACCUUCGGAAAGUAAACUGGGGAAACUUCCUCAAUUACCGGCGCGAGCGGGAUUCGAACCUGCGCCGACAGAGGUGAGAGACCGUGUGAUGAUGAAUAAUGGGGAAUAGGGAAAUGACUUUCAGACAAAGGUCAUUUAAAGUAAACGUCACUCGACAUAUCCCUUAUAUAUGAAACAGAAACUUACAUUUCAACAGUAAUUGAUUAUUGUGCGAGUCAUUUGUCAUCUGAAGUAGUUCAUUAGUUCAAUGUAUUGUGAGGAGUGGUGGUCUAGAGGUAGAGCGUUCGCGCCGAAUGCGGGAGGACGGGGUUCGAAUCCCAGCCGCGAUAGACCUAAGUCGUUAAAACUUAGGAACAAUAGAAUAUGUACAUUGUGAUUUAAAGGACGUAGAGGAUGAGUUUCACUUUAUUUUGAAAUAUCCAAAAUACCAAGAAAUACGCAAUUUAUAUAUCAAAAAGUAUUAUUAUAGACGUCCAAGCGUUUUCAAAUUAAUUCAAUUAUUAAGUGUACAAAAUGUUAAAGAAUUGCGAAACUUAGGAAAUUUUUUAUUCCUAGCAGGGAAAAUAUGAAAGGAUAAUUCAUAAUUGUAAUUACACCCCAUUUCUUUUUCUCAUUUAACACAAUUUUUUUUCUUCUAUUUUUAUUUUCAUACAACUCUCACGCAAUCACCUAUAUUACAAAUAUUAUCUUUUAUACUUAUAUGUAUGUGUAUGCUGAUCUAUAGCUCUGAUUAUGUGUAUGUUGUUCACCUUAUAUUUCAUUAUGUAUAAAAUUGUAUAUCUGAUGUGCCAUGUGCCAGAUGGCACAAAGAAAUGAACUGAACUGAAAACAGGUAGUGACAGUUCCUUCGCCAAACGAUCGGUAUCGGGUGUGAAUGUCACGGGUCCUCGGAGAUGAUCUUAAAACCGGAUGUUCCAUGACACGCCAAAGAACCUUUAAUACUCAAUGGCCGUAAACACCGAGCAUAUGCCUAAAUUUGCAACCCUUCACCGUUCUUGGUGACGUCUCUAUAUGAGUGAAAAAUUCUCGAGGUACACAAGAUACAAUCAAUCGGGGAGCACCCAUCAUUUUUACUGAUAUCCUUGGUUUCACUCGUGGAGACGUCACUAUUGCCGGCGAAGGGCUACAAAUUUUAGGCCUAUGCUCGGCGCUUGCGGCCUUUGAGUAGGGAGGGAUCUUGAUCGCACCACACCUGCUGUGACAGGGGACCUCGGUUUGUGCGGUCUUAUCCGAAAUACCGUCCCAUUUAGUCACCUCUUAUGACAAGCAAGAGGUACUGAGGACCUAUAGUAACCCGGGACCACAUGUGUUAGAAAAACUAAAUGUUAAGUAAUGAAAGGUGAAGAUAACGAACAGUGAUCAAUCUCAUAACUCCUAUAAGCAAUACAAAAUAAAGCGUUGGGCAAACACGGACACACUAGAGGUGGGAUCAGGUGCCUAGAAGGAGUAAGCAUCCCCUGUCGACUGGUCACAUCGUCGAGCAGGAAGGCCUCCACCAAAAUUGUGAAAUUUUGUGAUCUCGGAGUAGAGGAUUUGACUCCAGGGCGGGACUAACAUUUAAAAAGGGUGAAGCAUUUAAAAUCCAUCAUACUAAAUUGAAACUAUCUGUAGUAGUUACACAUUAGGUUUUAGUUGGUUAUGUACAGAAGGACGAGGGUGGGUCAAAAAUGACAUUUUGACCCGCCCCCGUCCUUCUGUACAUAGCCAAUUAAAACCCAUUGUGUAAGUCACAUGUAUCAGAGCCAAACAAGGUAUCUUGCACGUGCAAAAAGAAAUUUUGGCUCCUCAUUUCCCUCUUAGAAGUGAAUGUGGACGAUUGAUAAAUCGGAAAAAUGGACGUGGACGAUACCUGCGAGGGUUUAUUUGAUUUGGGGUGCCUAUAGGACACUACAAUUGACGAUGUUACUCGGAUGUCGACAACAGGCGACCAUAUUCCGGAUAUUCUGUCGUUUUCGGCAGAGGAACUUAAUUUUUGGCUGUCAAGAUUUGUUGUUGAAACGCGACGCAAGGAUGGCAAGACUUACCCUCCCAAAACACUUUACAUGCUUUGUACUGGACUUUUAAGACAUCUGCGAGAAAAUGGUGUGCAUUCGAAUUUUCUAGAUGAGAAGAAUUCCCAAUUUUACGAUUUCUGGAAGGCCGAGUCGAUUUCUGAAGAGGCAGAGAAAGUUCUUUGGGAGAAGGGUCUCCUCUGCAACAGUACAGCAGAAUCUAUGCUAAACACUGUCUUUUUCUACAAUUGCAAACGUUUUGGCUUGAGAGCUGUUGACGAACACAAAACAUUAUCCGUAGACCAGUUUGAGCUGCGUCAAGACCAAAAAGGCAAGUUUAUAAAUUUCACAGGACGGGCAAACAAGACAUGCAAAGGGUGGAUUGUAUCAAAGACAUGUGAGCGCGAAAUCUACAAGACAUCACUUCAGGGCGAAAAAGUAUAUAAUAUCUACAAAGAAUACAGUGUACUUCAAUCUGGUGGUGGUUAAUUAAAAAAAUAACCGAUCUUACCGGCGACCAUUGGCUAACGGAGAAAACAAUGAAGUUCGUUUCGGUGUACAACCCAUUGGAGUCAACAAAUUAUCUACAGUUAUGAAAAAUAUGUGCGAUAAAGCCAGAAUUCCCGGAUUCUUCUCUAAUCAUUCCGGUAAACGCACUUGCGCAACCGCUCUCUACCAAGACGGGGUACCAGAACAGGAAAUCAUGGACCGUACAGGCCACAGAUCUAUAGAGAGUGUCCGUAAAUAUAAGCGUCCGAGUGAGGAGAUGCUUUGUGAUAUUUCCAACGCAUUGGAACCAAAUGAACCGAUGGCGACAAUGAGCAAAGAGGCAAAAACCUUGGACGAAAUUGAAAAUCCAAAGUAUGGAGAUUGCGAGUGUAAAAACACAUUCACCAAUUGUUAAGUAUAUUUCAACCUUUGAAAAGCGUUUUCGUUGUGAAUUAUUUUUCAUUCCGUUUCAUUGUGGACAUUUCUUUUUUAUUUAUUUAUUUUUUUUUUUUUGCCUAGGAGGCAAAACAUGCACUAAAAUGUAUGUCAAUUUGUUGAUUAGAAUUGAGGAAAAGGAACCAAAUGUAAUUUUUUAAAUGUACCUUUGCAAUGAAUAUUAAAGUUGGGAAUUUAUGCAAAUGAUUUACGUCAUGAUUUUGUUACAGCAGUUACCGUAUGCCACGCCUAUUGGGUAUCAAUGGUUAUGUACAGAUACCCACAGCUAAGAUCAAAAGAAAAUCACCGCUGCUAUUGUACAUGAAUAUUUAGAAUGAACAGGUAGCCGUUUACCAAAGUUGUAAAUGUCGUGAUCCCAGGGGUAGGGGUUUCAGUAUCAGGUAGGGGUCAAUGUGGUCAGUGAUGAAAUGUGUUAAGAAUUGGUCAUUUUUAACUCCUUGAUAACUACCAUUCCAAUUCUUUUCAAAUGUGUUAUGAAACAUCUUUGGGAUAAGGAUCCUGUUUCCCUAGGGGCGCGGGAAAUCUGUCAAAAAUCAACCAAUUUUCAGAAUUUUUUUCUACAACCGCCUAUCUCUAGGAUAAACUAAAUGGAUAUUGAUGUAGAGCAGGAAACUCUCUAUCACAAUUGUAAAUUCCAUGACCCCCAGGGUAGAGGUCCUGACUCCAGGACGGGACCAAACUUGGUAUAUACAGUUUGGGCGGGAGAAAUUUAAAUUUUUGUUUUACGGAUUCGCCGACUCAUUGUUUUCCGAUUUCCAAAAUUUAAAGUCAGAAAAAUCCGGAAUUUUCAUAUCCACCCAUGUUUGAUUUUAAACUUAUCUUUCUUAAACUAAAAUCAGCAGAACGUUUGACACUGCUAAGCCUUCUCAUUGUCCUGUGCAACCAGACGCUCUGCUUUCUCCGUAAAUAUCCGACGAACAGAUAGUCUGGUAGAGACACGCGAUAACGAUUGUAAGGUCAGAACGAGGCUUACCAAAAUAUCGGUAUUUAAUUUGAUUGGUUGAUUCAAUUCACAAAACACCUCCAAAAUAACGACUACCGAAGAAAUUUGUCAUAGAUUGAAUUUGUCGUUUAAGUUUAAGGAUUUACAGCUAGAGUGUUUAUAAAAACUUUUGUAAAAGGAAAGGAUCAGCUCGUCGGAGAUUUGCGGAGACAGCCGAGUGUCUGGUUGAACGAGACUAAGCCUUCUCAUGGAAUUAUAAGCGUCUAUUUCACACGGAAUAUAAACCAAAAUGGAGACGUAAGUCGUGCUUGGUUUGGUUGGCCAGAUUAUUCUGAAGAUAAAAUUUGUAAAUCAUCAGCAUCCUAGCACUCAGAAAUAUCCUAAUUUAUUUAAGUCCUACACUUUUGAUAUAGCGUUUGGUCAGUUAUUUGCAUUGCAUUUCACGUAGUUCCACACUCCUGUGACGUCAUAGGAUUUUGCAAAGUCAAUGAUUUAAUGAUAGGAACAUAAAUUUUGUUGGAAUCUUUUUCAUUAGUUAUUGCAAAAAAUCUUGUUAGCCAUAAAAUAUUUCAAAAUUCUUAGUUAUAUUUGAAUAGUCAAUGAUAUGUUUUAAAAUAUUGAAUCCAAGGACAAUAACUCUGUUUUCAUUCAAUUAUUUAUCAAGUCCAUAAUCCUUCAUUUUUGACAAACAUUUUACCAAAGUGAUAAGGAAUCAUUAUCUGUGUCUUUUCAUGAAAUUACAUAAAAUUUUAAUCCCGAGUGAUUUUAAAUAGCUCAGCUGUAUGGUGCCAGACUUCAGUUUUUGAUGGGGGGUAUACAUAAUCUGGAAGCUAUAGAUUUGAAAUUAUUAAGGAAAGGUAUGGAUUUUUCCCCAUGAAUAACUAUAACAGAUGUAACUCUACUAAUAUAAACAGAAAAAAUGAUAUGUAAACCAUGCUAUUAAGGAAAAUGCGUCCACAUUUGUUUGUUUUUUAACAUUUUGGGGAAUAACGAUAAUUCAAUAAUUUUGCACAUAUUAUUCUAAAACUUGAUGAACAUAUUGAAAAUGACAUGUG